AACCUUCCCGAUGUGGAAAGGAAAAACCACGGGACCGUAGUCCACCAAAUAUCUCCACUAUCAACAAAUAAUGGGUAUACAAGAGUUCUCUCUUGAUAGAACUAGAGGCAAACAAUCAAGAACAGCUUACAAAUAAGCUUCCUUGGCAACCAAAGAUCAAAAUACAAAGUUUAGGAAAAAUCUCACCAAAAAUGGUACUGUUCAUGGGCCAAAAACCAGCAGUAGAGUACUCCAAAUUUGAUUUCCACCGUCUAGAAUUUAGAGUCUUAAGUUGUGAACUUGCCUACCAAAUUUCAGCUCAAUCGAACCACAAUGCUUGUUGAUCGGAUAGCUUGAUCACUGCUGGACAGAAUUUCUCUUCUCUUCUCUGUUUUGGUGGCUGCUGCUACGUCUCUUUCUGUGUUACAAAGAAAAGGUUUGUCAUCCUAAACUCAUGGGCUAGAUCUUUUCAAAAACAUAAUCUCUCCAUGUGGGCUUUGGAACUCACAUGGGUUUUACUAAAUGUUUUGGGCCUUCCUCCACAUAGGAGGGAAACCCAACCCAACAGAUGAUGUGUUGAAAUUUUUUUUUAGAUUUACAUUUUUUUUGGCAGAUCUCUAUGGUGGGUUUGCUUUUUAGUUGAUCUUUAUGUGUGAUGAUGAUGAUGUGUUUGGUUGAUGAUUCUCUCUCUCUCUCUCUCUGUGCUCCUCUCCUCUUCUCUUCUUUCUUUUUCUUUUUCUUCUUUGUUCUUCUGCCAGAAAGAAUGAAACAAAAAAAAAAAAAUUCCACUCUCUCUCUCUCUCUGCUCCUCUCCUCUUCUUCUUUGUUCUUCGGCCAAUUAUGGAAAGGAAGGGAAAAUAUAUAUAUAUAUAUAUAUUUGCAAAACGACAUCAUUUUGGAUUCGGGCCAAUUUCGAGCUACGUAACGGAACUGUUUAAGUAGGUUCAACCUCUACAUGUAAGUUGUGUGUGUGUGUGUGUGUGUGUGUGUGUGUGUUUUGUUUUGUGUGUGUGUAUGUGUGUGUUUGUGUACUUAGAAACGCUAUAAAGCUUACAAAACCUCAGCAAACAAGAGAGCAAAGGGUUCACAGGGAGGAUUGGCAACCCAAUCUAAAGGAAGUGAGCCUUUUAGGUUUAUGGAAGCAACCCAAUAAGCUGCAUGGUUUGAUUCUCUAGGAGACCAGUAGAAAGUAACGUUGCUACGCACUCGGACAUGGAGAAUGUCAUAGAUGAUGGCUUGACAGUCCCAAGGAGGAUCCAACUCGGAUAUAGCUCGAUAACAAUCUUGUUAUCACUCUCUACAUGGACUUGAAUGAGACUGAGGGUAUCAUCAUGACUAGAGAUGGCAAUUUGAAACCGACCUGACAGGGACCCGAUCUCCCGACCCCGAUUUGAACGGGUUUUCCCCGAAAAAUACUCUCGACGAGACGGGGAUGGUAUUCAAAAAUUAAUCCUCGAUCAAUUUCAAGCCAGGGACGGUGAUAAGUGUCCAAGGCUUGGCCCCGGCCCCAUUUGUCCCCGAAGUGAUAUAUAUAUAUAUAUGCUUUCUGAUGUUCUCUCUCUCUUUCAUUUCAUAUUUCUUUCAUUAUAUAUAUAUAUAUGCUUUCUGAUGUUCUCCCUCUUUUAUAUAUGAUAUAUUUUUUUUUUCAUUUUCUAACUGCAGGACUACUUUGCGAGAUCUCAGCGAUGAAGAUGGUGAAGCAUCCCAACAUCGUCCUGAUUAAGAUCUACUCUGCCAUGGAGACCAAGAUCUACUUCUACUCUUCGAUGGUUCCAAGACUUUUUUGAACAGAUUUGGAAUUUUCAGGGUCGGGGAACCUCGAUCCCUGUUAGGGGAGGGGGUGGGGACGGUGAUAGGUUUUCCGUCGGGGAUUGGGGACUGGAACAGGGGAAUUUGCACCAUCGGGGAUUGGGGACGGGGGGGUGUGAUCCUUGCCCCAGCCCCGCCCCGUCGUCAUUCCUAAUCGUGACAUUGAAUUUUUACUCUGUUUAGUGAACAAUUUUCAAAAAUAAUUUUUGAGUUUUUUGUA